AGCGAACGCUGGCGGCAGGCCUAACACAUGCAAGUCGAACGAACUCUUCGGAGUUAGUGGCGGACGGGUGCGUAACACGUGGGAACGUGCCCUUAGGUUCGGAAUAACUCAGGGAAACUUGAGCUAAUACCGGAUAUGCCCUUCGGGGGAAAGAUUUAUCGCCUUUAGAGCGGCCCGCGUCUGAUUAGCUAGUUGGUGAGGUAAAGGCACACCAAGGCGACGAUCAGUAGCUGGUCUGAGAGGAUGAUCAGCCACACUGGGACUGAGACACGGCCCAGACUCCUCCGGGAGGCAGCAGUGGGGAAUAUUGGACAAUGGGCGAUAGCCUGACACAGCAAUGCCGCGUGAGGGAUGAAGGCCUUAGGGUUGUAAAGCUCUUUUACCCGGGAUGAUAAUGACAGUACCGGGAGAAUAAGCUCCGGCUAACUCCGUG
rnacentral:rRNA from 1 species